rnacentral:rRNA from 1 species
AUGCAGCUCAUCGAGUCCAUCCGCGCCAGGGUGCACGCCGCCUGCGGCUCCGUUGUGUCAUGCGCCGACAUCACCCUGUUCGCCACCCGCCACAGCAUCGUCGUGUCCGGCGGGCCCUGGUUCUCCGUGCCGCAGGGCAACCUCGACAGCCUCGCCCCGGCGUCACAGGACAAGGUGUCCAACCUCCCGUCGCCCACGACGGCCAGCGUGGCCAAGCUGGUGGAGUCCUUCCGCACCCGGGGCCUCGGCGACGUGGCCGACCUCGUGGCGCUCUCCGGCGCGCACACCAUCGGGCGGUCGCACUGCGGCAGCUUCGCCGACCGGUCCCGGCGCGCGGACGACACCUUCUCGCGGAAGCUGGCGGCCAACUGCAGCAAGCACCCGGACCGGCUGCAGAACCUGGACGUGGUCACCCCCGACCUCUUCGACAACGGGUACUACAAGGCGCUGCGGUCCAACCAGGGCGUGCUCACCUCCGACAUGGCGCUCGUCAAGAAUAAGACCACGGCGGCCAUCGUGAAGCGGUUCGCCCAGAGCAAGGACGCCUUCUUCCGGCAGUUCGCCAGGUCCAUGGAGAAGCUCGCCAGGGCGCCCAAGCCGGCGGGCAACGUGGGCGAGAUCCGGCGCUUCAGCUGCUUCAGGACCAACGCCCAGCGCGCCGACGCUGCCGGUGAGGAGGAGGGGGAGGAGGAGGAGGAGGGCUUCGCCGCCUCCGCCUGA